GAUGAAGAACGUAGCGAAAUGCGAUACGUAAUGUGAAUUGCAGAAUUCAGUGAAUCAUCGAAUCUUUGAACGCACAUUGCACUCUCUGGUAUUCCGGAGAGUAUGCUUGUUUGAGUAUCUGUAAACAUCUCAAAUCUCUCUUCAAUUGCUUCAAUUGGGUCGAGAGAAUUGGAUUUGAGCGAUCCCGACUCCUUCGUCGGAAAGAGGAGGGUCGCUUGAAAUGCAGGUGCAGCUGGACAUUCUUCUGAGCAAAAAGCAUAUCUAUUUAGUCCCGUCAAACGGAUUAUUACUUUUGCUUCAGCUAAUAUAAAGGUUGAAUGAACUACCAACGCUGAUUGCAGGAAAACAUGUUCGUUUAUUCGGACUUGUAAACUCGAUCUCAAAUCAAGUAAGACUACCCGCUGAACUUAAGCAUAUCAAUAAGCGGAGGA
rnacentral:misc_RNA from 1 species